rnacentral:misc_RNA from 1 species
CCCUUUUUUUUUUUUUAUGGUAGAUCAAUGACUCAGCAUCACCAUGUCACCAACAAUUUACUGCAUUUUAAUUUUAGCAUUAUCUUACACAUUUUUUUUUGCCGAGCGAAUGCAUUCAUUUGUGUAUUGUCAAAGGAACCUGAUCUUCUAUUUUAGAGGUCCUGCCAAAAAUGACGUUUAAUCUUUUCCAUGAUGUGAUUUAACAUGCAUGUUUGACAUCCAUAAUUUUCAUGUCAGGCCUUGCUACUUGCUCUUCAAAAAUCUAAGGUAAUUGAUGAGCAGAAGUUUUCCAUUGAUCUACCUGAGCCUCUGCUGGCUUUUGCUCUAAGUUGUGGGAUGCAUUCUUCACCGGCAGUAAGUACUCAUGGCUUCUUUUCCCCUAAUUUCCAGCAUAAGUAAACUAACCUAUGACAGAAAUUAGAAUAGUAUGGCAUAAAAUUCUCAAUUUUCCAAAGCAGGCAAUAUUCACUAGAGGUUGGAAAUGAUCUUCAACAUGAAACAUAGUCGGCUUAAUAAUUUUACUUUAUGAUGGUGUCCUCGUAGAUGUACCAUUACAUUGCUAAUUAGGU